UUAUUCAUGCAUUUGUUUCUUCAUUAGUUUGUUUUUGUGACAUUUAAUGCCUUUUGUUUGUCAGCCACAUGAAAAUAAACCUGGUGCCUUGUCCUUGGGAGGUUCUUUUAUUCUAGUUUUGAGAAUCACAGGCACAAUUACCGUUUGAUAAUUGCUAUUAAAAGAGAAAAAUGCUACAGAAGCAGCAAAGAGGAAAUGCUGAACCACUUGGGUUGAUUAAAGGAAGCUUCCUGUGUGUUCAUGCCUGCUGCAGACUGAUACCACAGGCGUCUUACUCGGGAUUCCAAAUGGAAUCUUGGAGAAAGGUUGGCUUCUCCACUUGUACAGAUUGGAGUGGAGAGGUGGCUGCCAUCUCCCAACGAGCUGGUCAUAGCCUCCCGUGGUUUUUGAACACCUGAAAUGUGUCCACAUCAAACUGGAAUGUGCUGUGUGAAAUGUAUACUGGAUUAGAGAGACUUACUGAGAUAUUUCAUAUUUUCUUUUAGUAUUAUAUUGGUUGUAUGUUGAAAUGAUAAUAUUAUGGAUAUAUAUUGGAUUAAGUAAAAUUUAUUAAAAUUAUUCCUAUCUCUACAUUUUUUUUUUAAAGAUUGUAUUUAUUUAUUUGAGAGAGAGAGAGCACAAGAGGGGGGAGGGUCAGAGGAAGAAGCAGACUCCCUGCUAAGCAGGGAGCCCGAUGUGGGACUCAAUCCUGGGACACCAGGAUCAUGACCUGAGCCGAAGGCAGUUGCUUAACCGACUGAGCCACCCAGGUGCCCCUAUUUCUACAUUUUUAAAUUUGGGUGCUGGAAAAUUUAAAAUUAUACUGUGGCUCAUCCUCUGUUUCUCUUGGGCAGUGCUGCCCUAACAUGAAGAACAUUUGGAAUUUCCAUUAAUUUUGGACCAUCUAGGAUGAGAAUUCUGUAAUCUAGGGGAGAGGAUGAGGGAGAAAUUCUCCAAGAAAGGGGCUAAAGAGUAAGAGGACUUAGUGGAAGGCUGGAGGAAUGCCCCCAUUUUGUGGAUGAGAGGAGCGAAGGCUUAGGAGAGAUUAGUCAGCAGUUGGAAGAAAGCAGGCUUGCCGAUGGCUGUUCAGCUGUGGGGCUGGAGUGCAGGUGUGCAUGUGUGGAUCAGAGCUGCCAGAAACCAGAGCCCCCUGGGGGGCAUGUUGCAGUUUUCUUGUCUUUGCAUCUGCAGCCCUACAGAGUGAGUGUGGUAAUGAGCUCUGGCUUAGUGGGAGGUCUGGGGUUUAGUCCAGCAUUGCCACAGACCUCUCGUGCACAGAGGUGGGUUGGAACUAGACUCUUAGCUGCUUUUCAGUUUGCACAUCCUGUCACCCUGGCUUUACAGACAUGAGGUAUUUGUGUUCAUGUGCUUCUUUACUUUUCUGUAAGUUAAAUCCUAGUGACUCAGACUUCAUUCUUCCUUUGCUGUCCUCAGGACCUACCAAGUCUGCCCUUUGAGCCUUGACCUAGGUGUUGCCAAGUCUGUUGAUUCUCAGCCUUCAUCUUACUAUACCCCUUGACAGCAUUUGACAUAGUGGUUCAAGAAAAAAGGAGUGCGUAGUUUCCUCAUUGGGCUUCCAGAACACCUCACUUCUCUGGUUUUACCUGCCUUGUCGGGUCUGUUUUCUGUCUUGUUUGCAGGACUUUCCUCUGGAGCCUGACCUCUAGAUACUCAAGUGCCCCAGGGCCUCAUCUUGGUCCUCCUGUUCAGUGUCCUUACCCUGAGUGACCUCAGCCAGUGCUGUGUGGACCCCAGCCUCACCUUUGUCUGGUCUCCAGCUUUGGGGACGUAUUGAGUGCUGGGAGGGCUGAUGGGCACCUUCAACCCAGUGUGCACUGGAGCUCUCGCCUGACCUCUGAGCUCAUCCCGUAGUGACUGGCUUCAUCUGUGGAAGCCGUUCCUCAGAAACUGCUGUUGGCUCUGCCUUUAGAGUACAUCUUACACCUACCACAGGGGCUGUUGCUGGGUUCAUGCCCACCUCUUCCUUCUGCUUCGCCAUGGCUUCCACAGUCUCUGCUCAGGAACCUAGGUGUCCACGGAGUGUUUCUGCUGUGCGGGCAGCCUUCCUGUGGCUUGUGAGCUCUUCGCCAGGGCCGACAAAGCUAUGUGUGGCGUCAGGCCCUGGCUACCUGCUAUCUUUUCCUGCCACUUCCCCCAGCUCAUGCUCUAGGCUUUGUGGCCCCCUGGCUAUUUUUAGAUGAACUGGGGCCCUGUGCUCCAUGUUCCUCUGCCUGGAGAGCUCUUUGUGCAGGCCUCCAGGAACCUCUGUGGACACAGCCCUUCCCUGCCUCCUCUUGGGGAAGGCGCUCAUCCUGUGAAAGGGCUGUAGGCUGGGAAACCCAGUCACCAUUCCUAGCAAAGUUGUGUGUAAACUGGGUGCUUGUGAAGACCUGGGGGCUAUCCUGUGGGAUUUUGUUCUAGGACCUUGCAUCUAUGAGUCUUUAUCAGAAUCUUUGGCUGUUUCUGCUUGUUGGUUAGAGGCUGUGUCCUGAAGGCUGUUUGCAGAAGUGUGACUCUAAUCGAGACAUUUCCAUGCUGGUACUUCUGUUGCAGUAGGAUUUUUUUUUUUUUUUUUUUUUAAGAUUUAUUUAUUUAUUUUAGAGAGGGAGCAAGCAUGUGCAAGAGUGAGAGAGCGUCUGCGUGAGCGCUCGGGAUGGCAGGAAGGCCAGAGGGAGAGGGAGAGAGUAUCUCAAGCGGCCUCCGGGCUAAGUGCGGAGCCUGAUGAGGGGCUCAGUCCCACGACCCUGAGAUCACAACCUGAGCCAAAGCCAAGAGUCGGCGCUUAACCGCUUAACUGACUGAGUCACCCAGGUGCCUUGUAGUAGUUUUUAUGAUAGGAUUUAUUCUGGUUUUGUUUAAUAGCUUUUGACCCUUUUUUACCUGAUUUGCUGGAUCUGUUGAUCUUUUAUAGUGAAGUAUUUCAUUAUUGACUUUAGCUCUUCUAACAGCAAGAAAGUAACUUAAAGUUUUGAGCGUAAACUUGGGAAAUGAACAAGCUAAAAUUUAAAUCAGAGUAGUAGGGCGCCUGGGUGGCUCAGUUGGUUAAGUGACUGUCUUCGGCUCAGGUCAUGAUCCCCGGGUCCUGGGAUCGAGUCCCGCAUCGGGCUCCCUGCUCUGCAGGGAGCCUGCUUCUCCCUCUCCCACUCCCCCUGCUUGUGUUCCCUCUCUCACUGUGUCUCUCUCUGUCAAAUAAAUAAAUAAAAUCUUAAAUAAAUAAAUAAAUAAAUCAGAGUAGUAAUCCUAAAGAUUUUUUCCAACUUUUCAUUUUGAAAAAUUUUAAACCUUUACAAAAUGUCAAAGAAUAUUCAGUGAGCACUCAUAUACCCUUCACCUAAAUUCAUUAAUGACUUUAUCAUCCUCUCUCUGUGAUGUGUUACUAUUUUUAAUGCACCAUAGAGAGUAAGUUGGAUGUGUUAUGUUCCUUCACCCCAAGGCUUUCAGGAUCUCCUAAAAACAAGGAAAUUCUCAUAUAAUCACAGCAUAGUAGUUAAAUUCAGGAAAUGUCGUAUUGAUGCAAUACUAUGAAUAAUCUAUACAUACAGUAUAUUGUUCAUAUUCAGAUUUUCCCUAAUUGGUCCCCAUGUAUCCUUUAUAGACUUAAAAAAUCACAGGUAAUGCUUAGCAUCUGGUUGCCUGGUUCCUUUUGUCUUCUUUAGUCUAGAACAGGCCCCAGCCCCAGUUCCCCUUAAAUCUUUCGUGACAUGUACAGUUUUGAGGAGUCCAGGUCAGUUGCUCUGUACAGUGACCCACAAUCUGGAUAUGUCUGCUUUGUUUCCUCAUGAUUAGAUUCAGAUUAAACAAUUUUGACAAGAGUAUUGUGCAGGUACCGUUGUGGAUGUUUUCAUUACCUGAGGAGUCACGUGUGUCCUCGUGUGUUUCACGCCACAGUUUGAUCAGUUGUUGAGGGCUUGUCUGCUGGACCUUCGUGUUGUGUGGUGCUGCGCCCUCUCCUUAUAUUCAAGGAGGACAGACACAGGAAAGAAGCUUGCCAUGUGCACACAGAGGCAGAGAUUGGAGUGGCACAUCUGUGGACCAAGGAAGACCAAGGAUUGCCAUAGCCACUAGAAGCUAGAAGAAGCACGAAGGGAUUCUUCCUUAGAGGCUUCAGAGGGAGCAUGGCCCUGCCAUCACCUUGAUGUUGGACUUCUGACCUCCAGGACUAUGAAAAGAUAAAAACAAAUUUGUUUUGUUUUAAGCCACCCAGUUUGUGGUACUUUGUUACAGCAACCCUGGGAAACUCAUACACUGGGCAAAGUGUAUAAGGUGGUCUAUUAUUUCUCAUGCUUCACGUGAAUCUACAAUUAUUUCGGUUGGAGAUAACCAUUUGAGGGACUGCCAAAAUGUUUCCUACAGUGACUGCACAAUUUUAUAUCCCCAUCAGCAGUCUAUGAGGGUUCCCAUUUCUCUAUAGAAGCAUCAGCACUUGCUAUGGUCCAUCUUUUUGAUUAUAGUUAUCCUUGUGGGUGUGAAGUUGGCAUCUCAUUGUGGUGCUGAUUUACAUUUCCCUAAUGGCUGAUGGUGUUGAACAACUUUUCUUGUCCUUAUUGGUCAUCUGUAUAUGUUGAUUGGAGAAAUUUCUAUUCAGAUCCUUUUCCUAUUUUUAAAUUUGAUUUUCUUUUUGUUAUCAAAUUGUAUGUUGUCUUUACGUACUGUAAAUAGGUUCCUUAUCAGUUAUAUGACUUGCAGAUAUUUUUCUUUUUGUGGGUUGUGUUUUCACUUUUUUGAUGGCGUUCUUUGAAAAACAUUUUUUUUUUUAAAGAUUUUAUUUAUUUGCUGGAGAGAGAGCAUAGGUGAGAGAGAGUGAGCGAGAGUGCAAGCAGGGGGAGCUGCCGGCAGAGGGAGAAGCAGGCUCCCUGCCGAGCAAGGAGCCUGAUGCAGGACUCAAUCCCAGGACCCUGGGAUCAAUGCCCGAGCUGAAGGCAGCGGCUUAACCUACUGAGCCACCCAGGCGUCCCGAAGCACAAACAUUUUUAAUUUUGAUUAUGUCUAAUUUGUUUCCUUUGUUGCAUGUGCUUUGGGGGAGUCAUAUAAAAAAAUUGCCAAGGGGGGGGCACCUGGGUGGCUCAGUCAUUAAGUGUCUGCCUUUGGCUCAGGUCAUGAUCUCAGGGUCCUGGGAUCGAGUCCCGCAUCAGGCUCCCUGCUUGGCGGGAAGCCUGCUUCUCCCUCUCCAACUCCCCCUGCUUGUGUUCCUUCUCUCGCUGUGUCUCUCUCUGUCAAAUAAAUAAAUAAAACCUUAAAAAAAAAAAAAUUGCCAAGGGGCGAUGUGUGGCUCAGUUGGUUAAGGGUCUGACUCUUGAUUUUGGCUCAGGUCAUGAACUCAGGGUUGUGGAAUCGGCCUCCUGUUGGGCUUUGCGCUGAGCAUGGAGCCUGCUUGAGAUUCUCCCUCUCCCUCUGCCCACCCCCCCCAACUGUGCGUGCGCUCUCUCUCUCUCAAAUAAAAUGUUUUAAAAAAAACUGCCAAAUCCUAGGUCAUGAAGGUUUAUGCCUAUGUUUUCUUCUUUUUUUUAGAGAGAGCAUGCAUGCAAGUCGGGGUGGGAGGGACAGAGGGAGAGGGAGAGAGAGAUUCUUAAGCAGGCUCCAUGCUCAGCACGGAGCCCGAUGAGGGUCUCGAUCUCACAGCCUUGAGAUCAUGACCUGAGCUGAAAUCAAAUUGGACACUUAAUGGACUGAGCCACCCAGGCGCCCUGCCUAUGUUUUCUUCUAAGUGUUUUAUAGUUUUAGCUCACAUUCAUUCUUUUGCAUGUGGAUAUCCACUUGUCCCAGCACCAUUUGUUGAAAAGACUGUUCUUUCACCAUUGAAUGGUCAUGGUAUCUUUAUUGAAAAUCAGUUGACCAUAGAUACAUGGGUUUAUUCCUGGACUUUGAAUUCUAUUCCAGUGAUGAUAUGUCUGUCCUUAUGCUCGUAUGACACUGUCUUUUUUUUUUUUUUAAAGAUUUUAUUUAUUUACUUGAGAGAGUGAGAGAGAAUGAGAGAGAGCAUGAGAGGGGGGAGGGUCAGAGGGAGAAGCAGACUCCCCGUCGAGCAGGGAGCCUGAUGCUGGACUCGAUCCCGGGACUCCAGGAUCAUGACCUGAGCCGAAGGCAGUCGCCCAACCAACUGAGCCACCCAGGCGCCCUGACACUGUCUUAAUUACUAUAGCUUUAGAGUAAGUUUUGUAGUGGGGAAUAUAUGAAUUCUCCAACUUUGUUCUUUUUCAAGAUUAUUUUGGCUAUUUUGGGACUCUUCAGUUUCCAUGUGAAUUUUAGGGUUGCCUGUCAAUUUCUUCUUCUUCUUCUUUUUUUUUUUUGCCUGUCAGUUUCUACAAAGAAGUCAUGAGAUUCUGAUAGGGAUUGUGCUAAGUUUUCUUUUAAAUAUAAUGAUCUCUUCUUAGUAUCCAAAAUAUAUAAAGAACUUAUAAAACUCAACAUCCAAAAAACGAAUAAUCCAAUUAAAAAACAGAAGACAUGAAUAGACGUUUUUCUGAAGAAGACAUCCAGAUGGCCAACAGACUCAUGAAAAGAUGCUUGGGGCACCUGGCUGGCUCAGUCGGUAGAGCAUGCAACUCUUGAUCUUGGGGUUGUGAGUUUGAGCCCCAUGUUGGGUGUAGAGAUUACUUAAAAAUAAUCUUUUUUUUAAAAAAAGAUAUCAUCAGGGAAAUACAAACCAAAUGACAAUGAGAUAUUACCUCACACCUGUGAGAAUGGCUAAAAUCAACAACACAAGAAACAACAGGUGUUGUCGAGGAUGUGGAGAAAGGGGAAUGGAGAAAGGGGAACCCGCUUGCACUGUUGAUGCAAAUGCAAACUGGUGCAGCUCCUCUGGAAAACAGUAUGGAGGUUCCUCAGAAAGUUAAAAAUAGAGCUAUGCUAUGAUCCAGCAAUUGCACUACUAGGUAUUUACCUGAAGAAUACAAAGAAUACAAAAAUACUAAUUCAAAGGGAUACAUUCACCCCAAUGUUUAUAGCAGCAUUAUUUACAAUAGCCAAACUAUGGAAACAGUCCAAGUGUCCAUCAGUAGACGAAUGGAUGAAGAAAAAGAUAAGGAAUGUAUAUAUACAAUGGAAUAUUAUCCAUAAAAAAUAAAAUCUUGCCAUUUGCAACAACAUGGAUGGAGCAAGAGUAUUAUGCUAAGUGAAAUAAGUCAGAGAAAGAUACCAUAUGACUUCAUUCAUAUGUGGAAUUUAAAAAAAAAAAAGCAAAGUGGAAAAAAAGAGAGGUAACCAAGAAAUAGACUAGGGGAUUAAGGAGUGCAGUUGUGAUGAGCACCAGGUGAUAUAUGGAAGUACUGAGUCACUGUAUUGUACACCAGAAUCUACUACAGUAUGUUAACUAAGUGGAACUAAAAUAAAAACCUUAAAAAUAUACAUAUAGGAUCCCUGAGUGGAGUCAUAUGUAUACCUCUUACCAAGAAACAUGAACAAAUAUUUGUUGACAUCCAAACUGAGUAGCAGACUAACAGACAUAAUUGGGUCCUAAUGGCAUGGGACAGAUUGGAGAGUGUGGGCACGGAGGCAGCACAGACCUGAAGACUUGUAUAAAGGCUGGGCCUGCCCAUGGCCAAAACGUGUUACUGGAUGGACAGACACUGGGAGACAUCUUUGUAGUUGGAAGGUGUAGGCACUGUGCACAUGGGUCAGAGUCUGAGCUGGGUGGUGGUGAUGAUGGUCAUACAAGGCAGUGGGGAGUGGGGGCAGAGGCAGGUGUCAGGGACCCUCAGUGUCGGGGCACCACAGGAAGGAAUACACUGUUGAUUGUUUUAGAGUGCUGGGCUGGUCACAAAGAACAGAGCUAUAGUGACCCACGGACCCACGGACCUUAUCUUUGGGGCUUUAGCUGAAGAGAGGAGAGUGCUUUGCAUGUAUUAGAUGCUCACAGAAUACCAUUGAACAAUUAAUGGAUAAAAUCAUAGUAAUGAUCACUUAUGAAGACUUUAACAGUGUUUUUCAAAGUAAAGAGAAAUGGAAAAAUCACAGAUGAUCAGUGACUAGAAAAAUGCUGAAAUACUUAUGUUAGCUUGAUGAAAUAUUGCACUGUUAUAAUGCGACAAUUGUGAAGACUGGAGACACGGUGGAAUGUUUAAGGGAAGGUUACACAAUCAUGUAAAAUGUGUAUAUAUGAAGAGAAACUGGAAGGAAAUGAAAACUUUGAGUUAAGGUGGUGAUACUUGUUUCAGAAUUUCCUCUUACUGUUACCUUCCUGAUAAACAAAGACUGUUGGCUGUGAUUGCUUUGGAGCUAGGCUGGGCCCAGAGUAUGGGCUAGAACCGUACCCAGGAGGGCAGGGGGUUGUGGACAGGUCCUGCUGGGUCUCUAUUUGCUGUGCACGUGUGGUCUGCACCUCUGUCUGCUCAGUCAGCAGGUGCUUAUUGGAUACCUGUCCCAUACCAUGCCCAGGGAUGUAGCAGCAAGCCAGAUGGACAGGAACUUGUACCCCAGCAGAGAACACAGAUGAGGGAAGAGCAAAUGAGGAGGGGUGUAGGAAGGCAGGUGGAAUUGCAGUCUGGGAGAGUCAGCAAGGAGGCCAGCGUCACUGCCAUGGUGUGAGGUGGGGACCUCCUGUUUAGAGAGACUGUAGCUGGAGUCUAACCAUUUCUCUGAGCUUGGUGUUGGUCACACGCUCAUUCUCUAGAACCAUUGCAGGAUUCUGGUUACUCACUCUUCCCCAUAUGAUUCAUUCUCUACCAGGAAUCCGCAGGGGUCCUUAAACACUAGAGCAAAACCACUCUCAGAUUACUCCCCUCCCUCCCUUAAAAUCACUGCUAUAAUCAGAAAGUGUAGACCCUUCCAGACCCUUGCUUGUCAAGGGACAGUGGACCAGGCUGGCCUGGUAUUCAUGGGGCUCCUCCCUGUCUGGCCUGAGCCUUUGGUGUCCUUGUGCUCUGAAUGUUCUUGUUCAGUCUUGGUCAUAUCUAAAGUAGCUUCCCUGUGUUUCUCUGUCUCUUUACCUUGGUUUAUUUAUCUAAAGCUGUCUUUUGGUUUUUUUCAUGUUUUUUUAAGGGGUGUGAUGUCUCUCCUCUGUAGCCUCUGCCUGUCCUUGGCAGGGAUUCAGCUCCUUCUAGACUGUUCUCUAGAUAUAUUUUAUGAAUUUUACAUAUAAAUAUAAGUGCACAUAUUUGUAAGUGAUUUUUUAUCAUGGUGUAUAUUGUUGUCUAAAAAUUGUUUGUUUACUUUUCUACCGGGGGUUCUACCAAGUCCAACAUACAAAGCAUUCCUAAUUGUGCUUUUUAGUAUUUACAGAUUUUAUUUUAUUUUAUUUUUUUUUAAAGAUUUAUUUAUUUGAGACAGAGAGAAUGAGAUACAGAGAGCAUGAGAGGGAGGAGGGUCAGAGGGAGAAGCAGACUCCCCGCCGAGCAGGGAGCCCGAUGCGGGACUCGAUCCUGGGACUCCAGGAUCAUGACCUGAGCCGAAGGCAGCCGCUUAACCAACUGAGCCACCCAGGCGCCUCGUAUUUACAGAUUUUAAUGUCAUAUUAAAUGUCAUAUUAAUGUCACUUUCUUGACAAUUGAGGCCUAAGAAAUUUGUUCUUGAAUUGCAACAAAGUAUAUAAAAUUUUUUUCCUAAAACAUUUUCAUUAUAAAUAUUUGGAUGAAUACUCAGGAAUUGACAGGUAGAGUUUUGUAAGAUUGCAUAAGGGAAAUCUUAGUGAUAAAAAAAGUAUAGAUAUUUAAGUGACAUUUAUUUUUUAUAUUAAUGCACGGGAAAUUGCUCAUAAUUUCAUAACCCAGGUAAUCUUUAUUGACACAUUUAAAAACGUACUCACGCACAUGCACACACAUCUGUUUGGAAAACUGUCAUCGUUCUGAAUUUUGUGCCCAUCAUUCCCUUGUUUUCUUUUUUACACAGUUUCAUUGUAGUUAUUUGUAUUUCUAAAAAGUAGAUAUUUUAAUUUUAAUAGUUUUUAAUUUUUUUUUUUUAAGAUUUUAUUUACUUGACAGAGAGAGAGACACAGCGAGAGAGGGAACACAAGCAGGGGGAGUGGGAGAGGGAGAAGCAGGCUUCCCGCCGAGCAGGGAGCCUGAUGCGGGCUGGAUCCCAGGACCCUAGGAUCAUGACCUGAGCCAAAGGCAGACGCUUAAUGCCUGAGCCGCCCAGGUGCCCCAGUAGUUUUUAAUUUUAUAGGGUAUCAUGCUAUGUGUAAUUUUCUGGGAUUUCCUUUUUCACUUAACAUAAUAUUGCUAAGGUUCAUUUAUAUCGCAUGUUGCCAAUACUUUAUUUUGUCUGCUUUCCAAUUUUUGAAAUCUGUGAAAUCUCCAGUCUGUGAAAACACCCGAAUUUUUUCAUCCACUCUUGCAUUGAGGGACAUUUCAGUUUCCAGGUUUUUUUUUCUCUUUUCCCCCUCGCCUUUUAAAAAAUUGUGUCCUGUGCUGCCCGGAACAUUUCCAUGCUCUUCUCUUUCCUGUGUGAGUGGCAUUGCCAGGUCACUGGGUGUGUAAAUGUUCAAUUUUGGGAGAGACUGCACUGCCGCUUCCAAGGACCGUGGCAGAAGGCCAAGCUGGUGACACUCCUCCCAGCAGAGCUCAGAGUGGCUGGGCCCCACCCCCUUCCAAGGCCAGCCUUGUCACGUGGUUUGGUGUGGGUCCUUUGAGUGUGAAAUGGCAUCUCAUCUUAAGCGGUGUUUCCUUGAUCGCUAAUGACAUUGAAUGUCUCUUCUGUUUAUUGACUGAAUGAAUAUCCUUUUUUGUGAAAUGUCUGUAGAUGCCAUUUGUCCCUUUUGGGGGCUUUGUACUUUUAUGAUUUUGCAGUGCUUUAUAUAUAUAUAUUUUUUAAGAUUUUAUUUUUAAGUAAUCUCUACACUGAGUGUUGGGCCUGACCUCAUAACUCUAGAUCAAAGAGUCAAGUGCUCCUCUGACUGAGUCAGCCAGGCACCCCUCUUAGUUUAGGUUUUGAUAUUUAAUUUCUCUUUCUUCUAGAGUUGGCUUUUUUCUUGUGUUUAAAAAAUUUUUUUUAACAUUUUCUUUUUUUUUUUUUAAGACUUAUUUAUUUUGGUGGGGAGGGGCAGAGGGGGAUGGAGAGAUUGUCUCGAGCCGACUCCAUGCUGAGCACUGAUCUUAAUGCAGGUCUCCAUCUCAUGACCCUGAGAUCAUGACUUGAGCCCAAACCAAGAGUCAGAUGCUAACCAACUGUGUCACCCUAGCGCUCCUAAAAAGUUUUUUAAAUAAAUGGUGUGAGUAGGGAGGGAUUCAGUGUCCUGUUUUUUCAUGUGCUGCAUCAUUUCUUCCCAGCUUUAGGUUAUCAAGCAGGCCUUUCUUUCUCCAUCAGUCUGAUGUCCCACACCCCAGAGUUCACAUGUGCGCGAAUCUUUUUCUGGGUUUGUGCCUUUGGCCAGCUUGCCUCUCAUAUGCUGCUCAGUUACAUGGUUUCAUUAUAAAUCCUGGAAACCAGUAGGCUAGUCACUCCUCCAUGCUUCUCUACUUCAAAAGCAUUCUGGAUAAUUUAUUAUUUAUCCUUUAAUUUAUUUAUUUAAUUCUUUUAUUGGCCAUUUAUUCUUUAAUAUAAACUUCAGAAUUAUCAAAUUUCAUGAAAAAUACUGUUGGGAUAUUAAUUGCACUUGCAUUGAAUCUGUAGAUCAAUUUGAUGAGAAUGGACAUCUUACCAGUAUUGUGCCUUCUUAUUUGUGAAUAUAGUGUAUCUCUCUAUUCAUUUCGUUUUUUAAUAAAAAGUCUCAGUGAAACUGUAUUUUUUGUGUAGAGGUCUUGCCCAUGUUUUGUAGGUUUAUUCCUAGGUCACUGAUGACUCUCUGAUGCCAUCGUCAGCGAUAUUCUCUUUGUAAUUGCCAUGUCUAAUUGUUCACUGGUGGCGUGCAGCAAGGCACCUAAGUGACUAUCUACCCUUACAUACGGCCACCUUGCUGAGCUCUGCUGUCAUCCUAGUAAUUUGUAAGUCAUGUGACCUGCAUGCAAUAACAGUUUUAUCUCUUCCUUUCUGACCCUCAGACUGCAGUUCUUGUCUGAUUGUACCAGUUAGCACUCCCAGUAGAGUGUUGAGUUGAGGCAGUGCUGGUAGAUAUCCUUGUUCUUGGUUUUGUUUAUUUAUUUUUAUUAUUUUAUGAACUUUCCAGUGUCCAGGUAAUUUCAAAUGUACAAAAUCUUGCAAAAAUAAUACACAGGAUUUCCACAUGCCCUCCGUCCAGAUGCCCCAGUUGUUAACAUUUGACCACAUUUGCUCUGUCAGUCUCUGUAUCUAUUCUUCUGUCUAGUUUUUAUUUGCUUUCCGUGAUCAUUCUUGAUUUUGUAGGAAAUGCAUUUACAGUGUCUUUGAGGGUUCUUCAGUUCCAGUGUGGGGAGGGGCAGUGCCCCACACAGUAAUUACCAAGCAGGGUGUCCUUGAAUUCGGCUCAGUUCUGGAACUACCUGGAGAAAGCAUCACGUUCCACAGGUUGUGCUGAGUCCUACAAGACCCCCCCUGGUCUUAGACGUCGGUCGUGAGUCUGGGUUGUCACUUGUGCUUCUGGCUGACUGGCUACAGGUUGGAGGUUCCGACGACCCUUAGGUUCGAUUAAUUUUCUAGAAUGGCUCACAGAACCCAGAGAAACAUCUCACUGGACUACUGGUUUAUUAUAAACAGGUAGAACUCAGGGACAGCCCAAUGGAAGAGAUGCACAGGGGCGAGGUGUGUGGGAAGGGCGGGUAGCUUCCACGCCCUCACCAGGCGCGCCAUUUUUCCUGAAAGUUUCCACGUGUUCACCAGCCUGGAGGCUCUCCCUGAACCCUGUCCUUUUGGCUUUUUAUGGAGACUUCAUUACAUAGGCAUGCUUGGUUAACUCAUUGGCCGUUGGCAAUUGAUUCAGCCUCCAGCUCCUCUAUCCUCCCCAGAGGUCUGGGUGGGACUGGAAGUUCGUCCCUCUGAUCCUGUGGUUUGCUUCUUUGGCAGCCAGCCCCAUCCUUUCAUGCUUCCCAGAAGUCAAGUUACUAACAUAAUAAAAGACACGGCAUCAAUGUUUUGGGGGCGGUGAGCCAGAAAUGGGAGGAAGACCAAAUCUAUAUUUCCUAUAAUAAAGUACAAUAUCACAGGAUGGGGGUUACUUUAUUAUUUUUUUAAUACUCUAUCAGAAUAAGGAAAAUUCUAUUCCUAAUUUACUGAGUUUUUAAAGUCAUACUUAGGUAUUGAAUUUUACCAAAUACUUUUUCUACAUUAAAAAAAAAAUCUGUUAAUGUGGUGAAUUACAUUUAUGAAUCUUAUAAUCACGCUUGUAUACCUGGGAUACACCAAGUAAUGCCUGGUAGUGUUUUAUAUGCUUUUGAAUUCAGGUUGCUGAUAUUUUGCUUAGAAGUUUUCAUCUGUAUUUGUAGUAGAAAUUUCCACUCAUUUUAUUGUCUCUUUCUCCUCUUUGGGUUCAUUUUCUUGUUCAUUUAUACCUUUUUUCUUUAUUUAUUUUAGAGAGGGAGAGAGAUGGGGGGGGAGGGGUAGAGGGAGAGAGAGAAUCUCAAGCAGAGUCCACACCCAGCACGGAGCCCAAUGUGGGGCUUGAUCCUAAGACCCUGAAAUCAUGAUCUGAGCAGAAACCCACAAUCAGGUGAUUAACCGACUGAGCCACCCAGGUGCCCCAUUUAUACCUUCUUUAGACGGAUUUGUUGCCCAGUUAAAAAAAGCACAUUAAAAACGUAUUGGGGACCUUUUUUCAUGAAGCUGAAGCCCACAGGUACUGUUUUUAUAGUUACUUUGGGUAUGAGGAAGUAGGGGUGAUGGCCUGGGGAGACCAUGUGGCUGGUGGUUAAUGAGUCCUUAGUACAUGAUUAAAGAGCUGAGUAAGUGAAGAAAAGCAUGGCCCAGUGGUCCCAG